CGCUCCCCUCCCACCUCCCUCCCGCCCCUCGGCUCCGGGCUGGGGCCGCCGGACACCCCUCCGGCGCCGUCCUCGGCACCGCGCCCCCUGCCGGCCACCGCGCGGCGCCUCCCGGGGCCGUGGCGCGCUGGCGGCCGGGGCGAGCAGGCCCCAAGGACCCUCGCUCUGGGCCCCCGCCGGGUUUCCCAGACGCUUCCACGACCGCGCGCGAGGGCGAGGCCCGCGGGAGGAUCUACAUCUGGUCAACCAAGUGCAGUUAAUGUUGCUAAGGACGGUGGCUGCCAUUUGUGCACAUUCACUGAGUGCUGCCUCAGGCUGCGUUCCUCGUGGAUAUUAUGCGGUGUCGCCCUUUCAGCAACGGAGGUCUUUGUCAUUGUCCUGAUUUCACAGGUGCUACACUGUCCUCAUGCCCUACCCUUCAGCCAUCAUCUCGUACUCCCUUACACCUCUCCCAAGAUGCCAUGCGUUGAACCUUUGCACAUGCAGCAUGGUCUUUCCAGGACAUCCUUCGCCUCCUUAAGAGACGCCUCAUCAUCCUUGAAGAUCCAGGAACGGGCACAUCGAACACGAGCGGCUGACUGCAUAGGAACAGGGGCUGUUGAAUUUCACUUACCCUACGUUCGUCUGGGUCUCUGCCCACGUGAGUGUUUGAGAACCACUUGUGCUGAAAGGAGGGUUGCUGCCCUGCCUGGGAGAAACCUUGCCAUUCGCCCCUGUUGUUCACCCCACAGACAGAGGCUCGGUCGGUGAUGCUUCAAAUGUUUGUGGUUAUUUUUGUCAACCAUCAUCUCUUCCCACGCCUCCCCAAGAAAGCUCUCCAGUGAGUCAUCCGGGAGGCCCAGGAGGCAGUUGACGUUGUUUUGCUGGUGUUUGGCCAUUGAGGGGAAGGGAGAAGUGAUGUCUCCUUGGGGGCCCGCUUUGAAGAAAAAUUCCACGGGUUCAUCGCCUCCCGGAGAGUCGGUCUCUAGAAUCCGUGUCUGUGAUAGACACUGGGUGUGUGUAUUUUUAUUUGUAUUCGGUCUCCCUUUCGUGGAGUCCAUGUGUGUAUAAUAUGCACGGCGCAUCUAUUGAAAGCCUACUAUGUGUCAUGAAAUUUAUCGUCCGGCAGGGCAGACAGACUUGUAAUCCAAUACGUGAAAUGAAGUGUUACAGGGCCUCUGAUGGGGAUGAACACAGGGUGGGGUGCAGUGAGUCGUAAAGAAGGAAGAGGGUGCCGGAGAGGUGUUCCGAGGAACUGGUUAUUAAAGAUGGGUGAGGGCCACCUGGCUGGCUCAGAUGAUAGAGCAUGCGACUCUUGAUCUCAGCGUCAUGAGUUCAAGCCCCACGUUGGAGGUAGAGGUUCUUUAAAUGAAAAAUAACGUCAGGGGCACCUGGGUGGCUCAGUCGGUUAAGCGUCUGAUUCUUGACUUCAGCUCAGAUGGUGAUCUUGCGGUUUGUGGGUUUGAGCCCCACGUCGGGCUCUGUGCUGGCAGUGGGGAGCCUGCUUGGGAUUCUCUCUCUCCCUCUCUCUCUCUCUCUCUCAAAAAUAAACUGUUUAAAAAGCAUUAAAAACAAAAAAGAUGGGUGGCAUUUUCCAGGUUGACUCAGGGGAGGCAUUCUGCAAUGAGGCACAUUGGGCACCUGCAGUAGUCCCGUAGAGCUGGAAUAUGGGUGCAAGGGCUGGAAAGGAGGUUGGAGAGGUGGGCAGGGGCCUGGCCAUGAAAGGCCUUAGGGGACAAGGAUUUGGUGCUUCAUCCUGCAGUCAAGGUACUGAAGUGUUGAAAAGUUGAAGUCAGAGAGCGAAACGACACUCCUGUGUUGUGGGAAGAUUAUUCUAGAGGAGGUGUGGGGGUGGCUAAUGGGAGUGCGGAACUGGAGGUAAGGAGAUGGAAAUUCAGGCGGGAGCCGAAGGGAGGGUAGCCAGGAGGGAGCCGUAGGGUCGCAGAAAGAUGCUGAGGAUGCAGAGUUGACAGGACGUGGCUACAAGCUGGAUGGAGGUGCAGGGAAACGUGAAGGGAAAGAGAAGAAGCUGGAGGAACAAGCAAGAGUGUGGGGAGAAAAUGACUCCCGUCCCACACCUGUUGAGUUUGGGGCGCAUUUUGUGGAGGCGCCGGACCCCAGUCUAACUGGACACGUGCCGUUGAGAAGGGCCACAUUUAGCCAUAACGGGGAGUGGAUGAGGUGACCUGGGAUGAGAAGAUGGACAAGGACAGGUCAGGGCGGCAUUGUGUCACUUCAUGUGCCGGAGGAGGAAGGGGAAGCUUGGAAGAGCUUCUGGAGGUGAUGUCAAAGGGGGAAGAGAGCGAAGCCGUUGGAGGAGGCAGUUAGGUUCUGACAGGGCACUUGGAGGCCAAAAGGAGGAAAUACCGGCCAGCUUUCCGGAAGGACAGAGGCCGGUCAGAGCAGUACUCUCCAAGAAGCCGGAUCAAACCAAACGGGCCCAAGAUGGCGGGCGCCCUCACAGGAAACCCCCGGCCAAAUAAGGAAGAAAGCAUGAAAUCCUGCAUCCCUGUCUUAAGUAAUGAAUAUUCCGCCCCCUAGUUAACAGUUGGCAAUAAGAGAUAGAAACCCAACCCCCAGGGUUAGGACGAUUGUGCUGUGGAAGCCACAGAUGGAGAAAGUACCAGAUGGGAACAGGUCAGCACGAGGACUUAGAACUUCGGGUUCCAGUGAGUGACUUGAGGUCCCGCCCCUAAAUAAAUAUGGAAUGAAUGGAAGCAACUUG